rnacentral:rRNA from 1 species
GAUGAACGCUCGCUACAGGCUUAACACAUGCAAGUCGAGGGGCAGCAUGAACUUAGCUUGCUAAGUUUGAUGGCGACCGGCGCACGGGUGAGUAACACGUAUCCAACCUGCCGAUGACUCGGGGAUAGCCUUUCGAAAGAAAGAUUAAUACCCGAUGGCAUAGUUCUUCCGCAUGGUAGAACUAUUAACGAAUUUCGGUCAUCGAUGGGGAUGCGUUCCAUUAGGUUGUUGGCGGGGUAACGGCCCACCAAGCCUUCGAUGGAUAGGGGUUCUGAGAGGAAGGUCCCCCACAUUGGAACUGAGACACGGUCCAAACUCCUACGGGAGGCAGCAGUGAGGAAGAUUGGUCAAUGGACGAGAGUCUGAACCAGCCAAGUAGCGUGAAGGAUGACUGCCCUAUGGGUUGUAAACUUCUUUUAUACGGGAAUAAAGUGAGGCACGUGUGCCUUUUUGUAUGUACCGUAUGAAUAAGGAUCGGCUAACUCCGUG